rnacentral:ncRNA from 1 species
CGGGAUACUUUCCCGUAGACAAGGAAUGUAGCCCUCUUUGGGCCGAACCUUAGG